CGGAGGGUGCAAGCGUUGUCCGGAUUUAUUGGGUUUAAAGGGUGCGUAGGUGGCCCUAUAAGUCCGGGUGAAGACCACAGCUCAACUGUGGAACUGCCCUGGAUACUGUCGGGCUUGAGAGUCGUCGAGGGUGGCGGAAUGGACGGUGUAGCGGUGAAAUGCAUAGAUACCGUCCAGAACCCCAAUUGCGUAGGCAGCUGCCUAGGCGACAUCUGACACUGAGGCACGAAAGCGUGGGGGAGCGAACAGGAUU
rnacentral:rRNA from 1 species